CCCUUCGGAGCCGCCCGUACCCCAAACCGACACAGGUGAUCAGGUAGAGAAUACCAAGGCGAUCGAGUGAACCAUGGUUAAGGAACUCGGCAAAAUGCCCCCGUAACUUCGGGAGAAGGGGGGCCUGAUGCGUGACACCACUUGCUGGUGGAAGCGUUGAUGGCCGCAGAGACCAGGCCCAAGCGACUGUUUACUAAAAACACAGGUCCGUGCGAAGAAGUAAUUCGAUGUAUACGGACUGACGCCUGCCCGGUGCUGGAACGUUAAGGGGACAGGUUAGCUGGUUUAGGCCGGCGAAGCUUUGAACUUAAGCGCCAGUAAACGGCGGUGGUAACUAUAACCAUCCUAAGGUAGCGAAAUUCCUUGUCGGGUAAGUUCCGACCUGCACGAAUGGCGUAACGACUUGGGCGCUGUCUCAACCAUGGACUCGGCGAAAUUGCAUUACGAGUAAAGAUGCUCGUUACGCGCAGCAGGACGGAAAGACCCCGGGACCUUUACUACAACUUGGUAUUGGUGGUCGGUACAACUUGUGUAGGAUAGGUGGGAGACUGUGAAACUCGGACGCCAGUUCGGGUGGAGUCAUCGUUGAAAUACCACUCUGGUUGUUCUGGCUGUCUAACUUCGGUCCAUUAUCUGGAUCAGGGAUAGUGCCUGGUGGGUAGUUUGACUGGGGCGGUCGCCUCCUAAAAGGUAACGGAGGCGCUCAAAGGUUCCCUCAGCCUGGUUGGCAAUCAGGUGUCGAGUGUAAGUGCACAAGGGAGCUUGACUGUGAGACAGACAUGUCGAGCAGGGACGAAAGUCGGAACUAGUGAUCCGGCGGUGGCAUGUGGGAGCACCGUCGCUCAACGGAUAAAAGGUACCCCGGGGAUAACAGGCUGAUCUUCCCCAAGAGUCCAUAUCGACGGGAUGGUUUGGCACCUCGAUGUCGGCUCGUCGCAUCCUGGGGCUGGAGUAGAUCCCAAGGGUUGGGCUGUUCGCCCAUUAAAGCGGCACGCGAGCUGGGUUUAGAACGUCGUGAGACAGUUCGGUCCCUAUCCGCUGCGCGCGCAGGAGACUUGAGAAGGGCUGCCCCUAGUACGAGAGGACCGGGGUGGACGAACCUCUGGUGUGCCAGUUGUUCCGCCAGGAGCACGGCUGGUUGGCUACGUUCGGAAGUGAUAACCGCUGAAAGCAUCUAAGCGGGAAGCACGCUUCAAGAUGAGGUCUCCCACCGAGUUAAUCGGGUAAGGCCCCCAGUAGACCACUGGGUUGAUAGGCCAGAAGUGGAAGCGCCGCAAGU
rnacentral:rRNA from 1 species